GAUGAACGCUGGCGGCGUGCCUAAUACAUGCAAGUCGAGCGAACAGAUGAGGAGCUUGCUCCUCUGACGUUAGCGGCGGACGGGUGAGUAACACGUGGAUAACCUACCUAUAAGACUGGGAUAACUUCGGGAAACCGGAGCUAAUACCGGAUAAUAUAUUGAACCGCAUGGUUCAAUAGUGAAAGACGGUUUUGCUGUCACUUAUAGAUGGAUCCGCGCCGCAUUAGCUAGUUGGCAAGGUAACGGCUUACCAAGGCAACGAUGCGUAGCCGACCUGAGAGGGUGAUCGGCCACACUGGAACUGAGACACGGUCCAGACUCCUACGGGAGGCAGCAGUAGGGAAUCUUCCGCAAUGGGCGAAAGCCUGACGGAGCAACGCCGCGUGAGUGAUGAAGGGCUUCGGAUCGUAAAACUCUGUUAUUAGGGAAGAACAAAUGUGUAAGUAACGAUGCACGUCUUGACGGUACCUAAGCAGAAAGCCACGGCUAACUACGU
rnacentral:rRNA from 1 species